rfam:Trichosporon oleaginosus strain IBC0246 unplaced genomic scaffold CC85scaffold_42, whole genome shotgun sequence.
GGCAACUUGGCGGAGUGGUUAACGCGAUUGACUAGAAUGGAUAUUCUACUAUCAAUUUCCUUCGGGAGCGCAUGUUCGAGUCAUGCAGUUGUCG